AAAUUUACAAGCAUGUGAAAAUCACAGAAACAAUCUCUUGCACAAGUACAGGACAUUAGCAAGCAUGAACAUGAAAGUUGAAAGUGUAAUUUUCAUAUUAUCCUACCAAAAUAUCAAAAGGGAAAUUUCAGAUCUCAUUUGAACCGAAUAACAUCAAAGAAACUGUAAUUUUCCUCCUCAUGCUUGCGCAUGCCUCACUGAUGGACGUGGCGGCGCUUCCUCCAUCUUCCUCCCGGCUCCCACCUUCGUCAACAGAUCCGGUGGGAGCACCUUUAAAUCUAGAGAGAGAGAGAGAGAGAGAGAGAGAGAGGGCACCAUACCGCCGGAUGUAGGCUUCUCCUUGCCAGAUCCGGGCUUCUCCUCGCGAGGAACGACCAAGACGGUGAGGGACCAUGCUCCUACCUCCAUGGCGGCGUCGGGGAAGAAGGAGAACCUCGCCUUAACGGAUCCAGGCCGGGAACCCUACCUCGCAUCGCUAUCGCCGGGAUUUACCCAUGCGCCGCCACCGUGCCGUCACCACGGAUCCGGCCGCGCGGAAGGUGGGGAGGGCCACGGGCUGCCUCCUCGACGGAAGACAAGAGAGGGCCUCCACCUCGGGCAACCAUGGCGAGCUCGCCGGAGGGGAAAGAGUAAAAGGAAGAAAAGAAAUGACGAGACGAGGGAGAAGAAGCGGCGGAAGAAUAACACAAGAGUAAGUUUAAAAAAAAGAACACCACAAGAGAGAUUAACGGAAGUAAAUGACGCCGGUUCUAAUCACUCGAAACCUAAUCGCUUCUCUCCUUUAUUUAGUGUAGCCUUUAAUCUGAUGGCAUCUGAGAUGCCCGCCGCGGUACACAACCACCGGAAGGGAUUUUCGGGUGUCAUGGAGCAUUAGAGCAAGAAGCACGGAAUACAUAACGACUGACACGUGUAUAAGCUCUUUCCUUUAAUUACUUGGAGUGUCAAUUUUUUAUAGGGGAUGUUGACUUUAAUUAGAUCAGGUUAAUGAUCCGUCUCAUUGAUCAACCUUUAAUUUCUUUAAUCAUUGUCCUUGCUUGAUGAUGAUAA
rnacentral:lncRNA from 1 species